GAUGAACGCUGGCGGCGUGCCUAACACAUGCAAGUCGAACGAACGGACGAUAAGCUUGUUUCUCUGACGUUAGCGGCGGACGGGUGAGUAACACGUGUAUCACCUACCUAUAUUACUGGGAUAACUUCGGGAAACCGUAUCUAAUACCGUAUAAUAUUUUGAACCGCAUGGUUCAAAGGUGAAUUUCGGUCUUGCUGUCUCGUAUAGCUGGAUCCGCGCUGCAUUAGCUAGUUGGUAAGUUAACGGCUUACCAAGGCAACGAUGCAUAGCCGAACUGAUAGACUGAUAGCCCACAUGGGAACGGAGACACGCCCCAUACGCCUAAGGUAGGCAGCAGUCGCGAACGGGAGGCAGUAGGCGGAAGUAUUACGGAGCAGCGCGGCGUGAGAGAUGACGAUCUUGGGAUCGGGAAAACCUGUUAUGAGUGAAGAACAUCUGUGUAAGUAACUGAGCAGAGAGUGACGGUAACGAAUAAGAAAGCACCGGCUAACUACGUG
rnacentral:rRNA from 1 species